GCAGCAGGCGCGAAACCUUUACACUGCACGCCAGUGCGAUAAGGGGACUCCAAGUGCGAGGGCAUAUCGUCCUCGCUAUCCUGUACUGUAGGGUAGUACAGUAUCAAGAGCUGGGCAAGACCGGUGCCAGCCGCCGCGGUAAUACCGGCAGCUCGAGUGAUGGCCAAUCUUAUUGGGCCUAAAGCGUCCGUAGCUGGCCGCGCAAGUCCGUCGGGAAAUCCAUCAGCCCAACUGAUGGGCGUCCGGCGGAAACUGCACGGCUUGGGACCGGAAGGCUCGAGAGGUACGUCCGGGGUAGGAGUGAAAUCCCGUAAUCCCGAACGGACCACCGAUGGCGAAAGCAUCUCGAGAAAACGGAUCCGACAGUGAGGGACGAAAGCUAGGGUCUCGAACCGGAUUAGAUACCCGGGUAGUCCUAGCCGUAAACGAUGUUCGCUAGGUGUGGCACUGGCUACGAGCCAGUGCUGCGCCGUAGGGAAGCCGAGAAGCGAACCGCCUGGGAAGUACGUCUGCAAGGAUGAAACUUAAAGGAAUUGGCGGGGGAGCAC
rnacentral:rRNA from 2 species